GGGGCCAUAGCUCAGCUGGGAGAGCGCCUGCUUUGCACGCAGGACGUCAGGAGUUCGAUCCUCCUUGGCUCCACCA
rnacentral:tRNA from 1 species